rnacentral:pre_miRNA from 1 species
GGUGUCGCGGUGGCUGAGCGCCCUGUUCCGUCACAGGUCGCCUGUUGGCACUGUCUGCGACGGGAAUCUGGGUGCAAAGUCACCCCAGCGUGAC